GAUGAACGCUGGCGGCGUGCCUAAUACAUGCAAGUCGAGCGGACAGACGAGGAGCUUGCUCCUCUGACGUUAGCGGCGGACGGGUGAGUAACACGUGGAUAACCUACCUAUAAGACUGGGAUAACUUCGGGAAACCGGAGCUAAUACCGGAUAAUAUAUUGAACCGCAUGGUUCAAUAGUGAAAGACGGUUUUGCUGUCACUUAUAGAUGGAUCCGCGCCGCAUUAGCUAGUUGGUAAGGUAACGGCUUACCAAGGCAACGAUGCGUAGCCGACCUGAGAGGGUGAUCGGCCACACUGGAACUGAGACACGGUCCAGACUCCUACGGGAGGCAGCAGUAGGGAAUCUUCCGCAAUGGGCGAAAGCCUAACGGAGCAACGCCGCGUGAGUGAUGAAGGUCUUCGGAUCGUAAAACUCUGUUAUUAGGGAAGAACAAAUGUGUAAGUAACUAUGCACGUCUUGACGGUACCUAAUCAGAAAGCCACGGCUAACUACGUG
rnacentral:rRNA from 1 species